ensembl:lncRNA CFAP95-DT CFAP95 divergent transcript
AGAAUGCAGUGAGGGUAGCGACCGGGCUACACAGAAACAGGGUUUCACCAUGUUGGCCAUGCUGGUCUCGAACUCCAGAACUCAAGUGAUCCGUCCGCCUCGGUCUUCCAAACUGCUGGGAUUACAGGCGUGAGCCACCGCGCCCAGCCUUUGGGGAAGUUCUUUUUACCGUCCAUCAUCCAUUGCCACCACACCUUCUGCUUACGAGUUAUUUAUAAUAAGUUUAACUAAAAGAGAACGAGAGAACAUCCCCUGAAACCCAAAGUUUGUCAUUCUAUACAGCUUUCCUGCCUGCAAAAGAGGAGGAGCAGACUCAUCCAGCAAAUCACCUAAAAAGUUUGAAGAUCAAAAAGCCUAGCUCCAGUUUCAGAUCCUUCCCCUACCUUUCUGAACACUAGUUUCUUCCUCUGAAAAACGAAAGAGGGAACGGGACCGUAGAGUGGAGUGGGCACAAGAAUCGCAAGUCCCUUCUGGCUAUGACGCUGCAAGACUCUAGGUACAGUUUAGGACUCCGGGCAUUCAGAUCCCCGGGACUUGUCAAGUUCUCCUCAUUGACAUUUUUGAUAUUUCGUGACAACACAAAUUCAUCACAUUUUUGUGCUGUGUGUUAUAUGUGGGAAGGAGAUUUUAAAAAGAUUGCCUUUUGAAGUUAUUGGAUAGCUGUGUUACAGAAGAAAACAUUGCCUUCAAGAAGUUAUUGGAUAGAUAUGUUACAGAAGAAAAGACGUUUGUUUCAUUUUUGACUUUGCAGGAAAAGAAUAUGUAACACAUCAGAAUUCUUCUCUCCUCCCUGGCCUUAGUCGAGUACCUGAGGGGCAUUAAAGCACUUCCUCCUUGCAA